AAAUCUUGAAGGUAGCAUGCUUUUAUCAGGUAUCGAACACAUUGUGGAGACUAAUUAAUCCACAAACCCAGAAUAAUCCCUUCUCAAGAACUUUCAGAUACUUCCAAGGUAGUGCAUAACUUGGUAAAACCGCGAAUUUCAGCCCCAAUUUAGCUAUUCAAUUCAUUGAAGUUUGAUUCUUUCACUACAAAUUCCUACCUACUCUUACACUACAGAGGAAACAAAUACUCCUAUUUACCUGAUAAAAGCUCUGAAUUAGUGUUUAGAUAUGUA
rnacentral:misc_RNA from 1 species